CAUCCGCCCGGGUACUACGAGCACAGCUUAAAACCCAAAGGACUUGGCGGUGCUUCAGAUCCACCUAGAGGAGCCUGUUCUAGAACCGAUACCCCCCGUUAAACCUCUCCACCUCUUGUUAAUUCCGUCUAUAUACCGCCGUCGUCAGCUCACCCCGUAAGGAAUAAAAGAAAGCAAAGAGGACACCCUCCAAAACGUCAGGUCGAGGUGUAGUGUAUGAGGUGGCAAGAAAUGGGCUACAUUUUCUAUAUAUAGACACACGAACAGCAUCAAUGAAAUAUUACGCUUGAAGGAGGAUUUAGUAGUAAAAGAAAUUGGAG
rnacentral:rRNA from 1 species